UACGUAGGGUGCAAGCGUUGUCCGGAAUUAUUGGGCGUAAAGAGCUCGUAGGCGGUUUGUCGCGUCUGCUGUGAAAACUCGGGGCUUAACCCCGGGCCUGCAGUGGGUACGGGCAGACUAGAGUGCGGUAGGGGAGACUGGAAUUCCUGGUGUAGCGGUGAAAUGCGCAGAUAUCAGGAGGAACACCGGUGGCGAGGGCGGUUCUCUGGGCCUUACCUGACGCUGAGGAGCGAAAGCGUGGGGAGCAAACAGG
rnacentral:rRNA from 1 species